rnacentral:rRNA from 1 species
GACGAACGCUGGCGGCGUGCUUAACACAUGCAAGUCGAACGGAAAGGCACGGCUCUUUUCUGGUGCUCGAGUGGCGAACGGGUGAGUAACACGUGAGUAACCUACCCUUGACUUUGGGAUAACCUCAAGAAACUGGGGCUAAUACCGGAUAGGAGCUCCUGCUGCAUGGUGUUGGUUGUAAAGGUUCGGCGGCUGGGGAUGGACACGCGGCUUAUCAGCUUGGUGGUGAGGUAGUGGCUUACCAAGGCUUUGACGGGUAGCCGGCCUGAGAGGGUGACCGGGCACAGUAGCACUCAGCUACGGGCCGGAGCCCUACGGGAGACAGCGCAGUGGCAUCGUGGACGAUGCGCCGAGGCCGGGUGCAGGAACGCCGCGUGCGGGAUGGCGGCCUUCGGGUAGUAAAGAGCUUUCGCCUGUAACGGAGCAUGAGUGACGGUAACGGAUAAAGAAGCACCGGCUAACUACGUG